ACCUGAUGGUGUUUGAAUUCCGCAUGUUAUUCAAACUAAAGAUUCAUCGGUAACGGAUGGGGAUGCGUGACAUUAGGUAGAUGGCGGGGUAACGGCCCACCAUGCCUACGAUGUCUAGGGGGUUCUGAGAGGAAGGUCCCCCANACUGGAACUGAGACACGGUCCAGACUCCUACGGGAGGCAGCAGGUGAGGAAUAUUGGUCAAUGGUCGGAAGACUGAAACCAGCCAAGUAGCGUGAAGGAUGAAGGUUCUAUGGAUUGUAAACUUCUUUUAUACGGGAAUAAAACCACCUACGUGUAAGGUGCUUGUAUGUACCGUAUGAAUAAGCAUCGGCUAACUCCGUG
rnacentral:rRNA from 1 species